UCUGAAUUUCAGAUUUGUCUAACAUCCUGUUUGGUUGCACCGAUUCUAGACUGCGCAUGACUUGCAUAAGUGCACUCAUAAUAUUUCCUAACCAGUGUAUCACAUGCUAAUGAUUUAUCCUAAGAGCAAAAUAAUCUUUUCCCAUUUAAUCACUUUUCUCUGACCUUCAUCACUCUUUUUUUCUCGCUGCCGUUUUUUAAGCACCUCUCUUAUUCUUUCUUUGUGUUCUCCUUGUGCAGGGGGUCUAAUUAUAAAAUCAAUGGAGCCGGGCUGCCUGCUUUAUGGCCUCCUUUAAAACCUUAACAGGGAAAUCACUGUAGGAUUGAUGACUCCCUCACUCUUUAUCUCUUUUAAUUAGAAAUGUAAAAGAUAUGAAGAGCCAGAGGCCAGAGUAGUGCACCCAGGUUUUUACGACUUUUCACCCCUCCCUCCACUUCUGCCAGGGUCUGAUGCUCUUCCUCCGAAAGGCUUUCUUACUCCUCUAGUGCCAUGUUUCAUAAGCCUCCAUUUUCUAUAUGCUUUUGAGUUCUCUCCACACGCUAGUCUCUUGACGCUUUCUGCCUUCAGCUAUUAAUUCAUGUGUCACAUGGUAGAUUGCAACAGAGUGGUCAGCGUCGCCGUAAAUUAAGGUUCUGCGGCUCGACAGAGCACUCAAGCUACGGGAUAUUUAUGGGGGAAAAAAUUAACCGAGUCUUAUCUGCAACGUCCAAGGCACAAGACCAUUCCAAUUAUUUUUAUAGCUCUCAUUAGCAAAGAACAGACAGUUAGCACCAGUGAGUCCAACAUGGACCUUCGUAUUUUGUACUGUAGGGGGGGGAAAAAAAGACCCACAUUCACUGGCCACAUUUGUCAGUAAAUCUGAUUCAUUUUCUUGCUGUUAUAUUCUAUCUACUUCAAAAUUGGACAGAUUGUGAUCAUUCCAGGAUGGCAGCAGUUUCUGAACUCACACCAAAAUCACAUUUUGUGCACAUUCUGGUGAACAUUGAGUAAAGGUUUUGAUCUGGUCGUGCACGGUGAUAUCCAUAGUGCUGCUGCCACCUGAUUAGCUGGUUGGAUCAUUUGAUAGACGUAUAGAAUAAACUGCCUGGUGUCUGUAUAUCAAAUAAAACAUCUGGUGGCUGGUGGAUCUAAAAACAAAGCAUUGUUUGGUUGUGUUUGAACUCAGUAGAUUUAUAAUGCUGGGAUUUUUUUCUUUUUGCAUCCAGGGUGGCAAAAAAGACGCAUUACUCUAAUGGCAUUGGAAUAGCCACGAUGAUGAUUUCACUCAUCAUUACUUAGAUCAUAUCAUUAACUCUGUCUAAAUUGUUUCUGAACAGCAACCGAGAUUAUCCUCUGAAUCAGACUAGAGGACGAAAAAGUACCCUGUCUUUUUAAAUUCGUCAAACAUCCCACACCCUUCCUGUGUUCCCAUAGCAACAUGUUAUUGGCUUGAAUAUACGAGGCCAUUUAGAGCCUCCUUGUAAAAGAGCGUAUAAUGUAUGGACCUUGUUUUAAUUCGAGCCCUGGUUUAUUGAUUUCU